rnacentral:hammerhead_ribozyme from 1 species
AUCCAGUGACGAGUCCAGAAUGGGACGAAACGCUCAUCCUGGAU